GUUGAUAUGGCAACUGACAUAUUUAAAUAAAUCCCCUUUUGGACAGAUAAUAUACCCUGGCAUUAAAGGCAGGUUUUCCUUUUCUCAUUUUACAGCACUGAUAUUAACUUCCCAUAAUGGUUUAAUCAUCCUUUGGAGGAAAUGUAAACUUUUAAAAACUCUUGUCCAAAUUCUGAAUCCUAAAAUCCCAGGUACUAUAUUUACUUUCCGAGUUUCUUCUACCCUUAGAAAACUACUAGAUUACAAUGAGUUAUCUCUGCAGUAUGAGUUAUUUCUGCAAGUUGAAACCAAGUACUUUGCUAAUUGCUCAGGAUUGAGAUUUCCUUGUCUCAGAAAAAUCCUAGCCAAUAGAACAUGGGGUUGAAGCAACUUGUCAUCUUGACAUCACAGGCUUAAUUCUCACUACCCCUAGCAACCAAUAUGCAAGCAUAGCAACAGCAGCUGGUGCACCGGAACAGCAUUGUUUAAAAUAAACACUCUUCCCAGUUGGCAUUUGCAAGUGAUCUUUUUCUUUCCAUCGUUUAAAAUAUAAGUGUGAACAUAUCUUAAGAAAAUGUAAAACAAAUGAAAAUGAAAACUACUUGGAAAGUUUCACUCCUCAAGUGUUUGAAGAGUGCUCACCAUGUUCCAGGAGCCACAGGAUGCCAGGAUGGAAGAAAAAAAGUCAUUGCUACUUGGCAUUGUUAACAGUGACCUAUCAGAAUUGCGGUGUAGCUUCAGGCCACAGAUUGGAGCAGGUGAAGACAAGAGCAAGAAACAAAAUUGUGACCUCCGUACCACCUUCUCACCCCUAUACAACCUUCGUGCCUCUAUACAAACACUGAUGCUCCUCAAGAUGAAUAAACGGAGCAAACUUGGUGUCCUGCAUAAGUUCACAAAUGCCUCAAGGACACUUUUCCUUGGGCUGACCAGCCCUUUUUGAAAAUAGAUGUUUUCCCUUCAGAUUUGGUACACAUAUCCACAUGGGAACAUGGCUGGGAAGAUCUUGGGCCAUUCUUUAGAGGACACAGUGAAUAUUCAAACAAAGAACUUCAAAGAUAAUGCCAGAAUUUUGUUCUAGCAUCUCUAUUGCAUCCAUUUACCAUAGGUAAUGUACGCAAAUAUCAAAACAGCCAACCAAAUUGAAAAAAUUGUUUUAAUUAUUGGUUAUCAUGUGACCCUGAUGAAAUGUUGCUUAACAACUAUUAUUUUUAAUCUACACAAAGUAAUGUUGCUCACGGACAUCAUUAUAUGGUGUUGAGAUGACCAUCAGAUGACAUGGUCAUUGUGAAGAUGCCCCGUAUUGACAAUCAACUCCAGAAAAAAUACAAGGGGUAGCUAUAAACAGGAUGAGAAAAAUCUGCCCAGCCCAAGAAAGACUAGUGCUUUUAGAAUAGAAGCCCUAUAUACAUCCCAUGAUUCUCUAAAACAAAACCAAAAAAGUAUGAUGCCAAUAUCCAGAAAUCUUUGUAUGUUUUAUGAUGAUAUAUUAAAAAUAAAUUGAAAAUAAAGCAAAACUGAAAUAUGCAUAAUGUAGUAUGGAAACCGAUCACAUAUUAAAAUUAUUUUAGUUAUUUAACUAGCAUGCACAUUCCAGUCAUUGCUGCAAGCACUUGACAAUCACUAACCUCUCAGUCCUGAUGACAUUCUUAUGAGGGAUGUACUACCUUGAAUGCUGAGUUCUACUUUCUGGGUUCCCCUCCUCUCCUAGAUCUCAGCAAAGUAAUUGCUCCCUUUCUUGAUAGUUAUUUCAUGCCCCCUUUUAAAGGAUUAUACUCCUAACAUCUUUAUAUUAAAUAACUGGCAAACACAAAGAACACAUAUCACUUAUAAUGAGGAAUAAAGUAUUUGUCUCAUUUAACUAGCCAACUAACCAAGACUGCUUACUUCACCAAGCUAUAAAUUCAACAUUCUUAUUUCUCUGAAAAAUUUUAAAUAUACAAAACAGAAUGUUUCAAUGAGCUCUCAUGUAUCCAUUACCCAGAUUUUAACUAUUAUUAAGAUUUUCUUAUACUUUACAUCUCCUUCUCUGCCUUCCCUCCUCUCUCUUUACCUGUCUUCCUCCUGUCUCUUUUUCUUUCUCUUCUUCUUUCUCAACUAUUUUUAAAAUAAAUGCCAGAUAUCAGGCUAUUUUACCCCUAGAAUUUCAAUAUUUAUCUCUAAAAUUACAAGGAAGUUUUCUUCAAUAAUUACGGCCUAUGUUGUCAUCAAUACAACUAAGAAAAGGAUUAAUGGUAUUUUGAUACUAUCUAAUACUAAACUUUUUCUAAUUGUCUCGGUUUGUUUGAGUCAGAAGCCAAUCAAAGCCCACAUACUGUAUUUGGUUGUUACAUCCUUUAAAUCUCAUUUAAUGUACAGUAGCUUCCUCUUUCUUCUUUUUUAAAAAUAAUUUUAUUUUUAAUCUCAUUGAUUUAUUGAAGAACCCGAGUCAAUUUUCUCACAGAAUAUCACAAAUUCAGUUUUUCAGUUGGCUUCUUUAAGUUGUCAUUUAACUUGAUCCUUCACCGUAUUUCCUACAGUGAAAGUUAGCCACAAAGACUGGAUUAGAUUUGAAUUUUAUUAUUUGUACAGGGAUAUGUACUGUGGUGAUGCUGUGUACUUCGGGUUGAAUUACAGCAAGAAGAUACAUUCUUACUGAUGCUGAGAUUGAUGAAUAAGUGGGUUCAAGUGAUGACAACCUGAUGCGUCCUUGGUAUAAUUUCCCAUCAACCUUUCAUCUUGUGGCUUCAUACAUUCAUGAUUGUCUUAGAUCAUAAUCUAUUAUUUCAUUGGGGUUGCAAAAUUGUGAUUUUCUAAUCACUUCACUUUUCCUAUAUUUAUUGCCUGGAACUUUGUAAAGCAGAAAUUGAUCUUAUUACCUAGGUUUAUUUGGUUGCCCAAAAUAUAGUUCAUGCUGGAGAAACUUAAUAUGUGCUUAAUUUUUUCACAUUAAUCAUAUUUUUAAAGAGUGUUGCUCUACUUGUUACAGUGCUGUCCAAUAAUUUCUCUCUUUUUAUAGUUUUGUUAUAAACACAUAGGCUUUUACAUAUUUAUUCUGUUUCCAAUGGUUGCUUUCAUUAUCUUUUUUAUGCCCAAAUAUUCUCAUCUUUAGCCAGAAAAGCCUCUGUCUACUUUCACACUACUCUAUUGGUCUUUGGAACCUUCCUUGUGUAUUUUGUAUAGUUUUUGCCUGAGACCUGGAAUCAGCCACUCCUCUAAGUAAUUCUGGUUUUUACAGACUGGAAUAGUAUUUGGAGACCACGAACUAGGUGCACUAAUUUCUGUUGAGUUAUUAUUUCUUUUAUGCUUUUUCAUGGAAAAGAACUAAGAAUAUACAUUUUUUAAAUAAAAAUAAAAUGUUAUGCUUAUAUUGCUAUUUUAUAUUUAAUAACGCAGAAUUUUACAUUAUUUUUUAGCUUUAUACUGAAAUUUUUUCUCAUAUCUAAAAAUCUUGUUUCCUUAUAACAGUAAGAUAAUUACUUGCAUUAUGUAAAUUAUAAAUUAAAACACUGUAAAAUAAUUACAGUAUAGUAAUACCAAUAUCACUAUUGAGUAAAGUUUAAGAUUUCCUUGUAGUUCUGUAUUCCCUUACAUAAUAUUCUUUUAAAGAAUGGUUUUCUUUAAAAUCUUUUACCAGUAGUCAGAAUAUUAUGUCCCAAAGUCACCUGAAAUAAUUUUUUUCUUUGUGUGGUUAUGGCACAAACAAUUAGAUUCAUUUGUUUUCAUUAAUUUUCUGCUUUUAGAGAUUCCCUUAUUUUGUUUUUUAUUUGGUUUUCUUCUAUGAAUAUAUUUACCUUGUUCCAAGUUCAAAACUUUAAAACCAGGUAUAUUCAAAGAGGUUUUAUUUUCAUCACUGCCCACUUUGCUAUGCUUCCUCUGUCCACAUAUAGGUAAACAUUUUUGUUAGUUUUGUUAGUUAGGUUUUCCUUUUGUUGUUUCUUUUUUGGCAAACAAAAACAUAUAAGUACAGACACUUAUUACCACCCCCUUUCUGCCAUUCUUACACGAAAAGUAGAAUACUGUAUAUACCUUUCUGACUCUUUCUUUUGUUCUUUCAAUAAUACAUCCCAAAGAUCACUUUGUAUGAGUAAAUUAAGAUAUUCUUCACUCCCUCUUAUAGCUGUAUAAUAUUGUAUUAUGUGUUAUCCACCUUUAGUUGUCUUCAAUGGAAAAGCUAUUCUAAAUUACUUAGUUCCCCAUUACCAAUGUCGUCUUCUUAGGUCUGUAGAUAAAAAGUUUGUUUGACAAGCAUAGCCUCAUGCCCCAUAUUUGGUGUUAGGAGGCAACUGCUUAGUGUAGCUUCACUGGGUGCAGCAGAAUCUUUUCUUACCCCUGCCCUCUGGCAUUCUACUCUAGUGGAGUAUAGAAAAGACCACAGUGCUAUUUGUGAAUGUUCCCAAGAUUUUCCCUCUAUCUUACCCUUCACAUGUAAGAAUGUUAAAAUGUGCCACCACGUUGAAAUAUGCCGCCAUUUAUUUCCUCUCCUGUUGUUUCUUGAGGGCUGCAGCAUCUGGUGGAUUCUCUGAUUCAUUUGUGGAAGAAAUGUUUAUGUAGUAUCAACCCUUUGGCAGGCCCUGAGCAUUCACAGAAACUAGGUAUGGUCCUUGCCCUCCUAUGGUUUUAAUGGAAAGACAAACAAUAUAAACAAGUAAAAUUAUUUAAUUAAGGAGUGAUAAAUUGUGAUAAACAAGAUAAAGGAAAAACACUAGGGUGCAGUUUGAGAGAAUAAUGGUAGUUGUGAAGAACUUCUAUAAGGAGCUGCCACUUAAUACUCAAAUCAUGAGGGAGAGGCUGCCGGGUGAAGAAGAAGGAAAACAUUCCAAACACAAGGACUGUGAUAUGCAAACCUCCAAGGCAAUAAACAAACAAAGAAAUAAAUAAAUAAGAGCUUUAUGUGUUCAAUGAACUGAUAGGCUGGUGUGGCUGAGGCAAUAUGAAGAGACAAUGACCAGAUCACACAGGACUUUGGAGUUAGGAUAUGGCAAGGAAUUUGGCAUAAAGGGAAAUUUGAUGCUACUGAAAUAAGCAGGUAAUAUUAAUGCAGUUUAAGUUUUAAUAAGUUCACACUGGGUGUUUUGUGGAGACUAGAUCAGAGCAGGCAGGGAACUCAGUGUAGGAGGCUAUGGUAGUGAUGAAGGUGAGAGACGAUGGUGGCUUAGGCCAGGGUGUUGGCAAUGGUGAUGAGGAAAAGUUAUAUAUUUAAGAUACAUUCUUGAAGAUAAACUCAACAAGACUUGGUGGUCGAUUAGAUGUAAAUGGGAAAGAUGGAACAGUGGUAAAGAAAGGAAGGAAAGAAGAAUGAAUUCCAGCAUUUCUUUUGAUCAGCUCAGUAUUGACUUACAUAGGGAAGACUGAGGGGAAGAAAGUUAUUAAUGUGACUAAAGAAAGGUGGUGUGGUGUGUGGAGCAUGCGGACGGAGCAACAAAAACCUGACUACCCUCACCACAAUCAGACCAUUCCCCAUUCACUUUGCCAGUUCAGAUUUUGAGGUUGCUUCGUUCAUGAGCUGAAGCAUGUGUUCUCAAUGUUGUCCACCUUCACUGAUUCUUUCUUUCUUUGAGACUGAGUUUCACUCUUGUUGCCCAGGCUGGCGCAAUCUCGGCUCACUGCAACCUCUGCCUCCAAAGUUCAAGCAAUUCUCCUGCCUCAGCCUUCCUGAGUAGCUGGGAUUACAGACAUGUGCCACCACGCCCAGCUAAUAUUGUAUUUUUAGUAGAUACGGGGUUUCCCCAUGUUGGUCAGGCUGAUCUCGAACUCCCAACCUCAGAUGAUCCGCCCGCCCCGGCCUCCCCAAGUGCUGGGGUUACAGGCACCUUCACUGAUUCUAUUGUCAGUGCCCAUGCCUCUAAGAUCCUAGCAAAAGGUUGUCAGUCAUCUGUGAUUUCGAUGGUAAUAUUCAUUUUCAUUUUUUACUGUGACUUUGUAGGCAUGCUAAUGGAGAAUUAGAAGCAGUUGCAUGAGGGGAUACUAGCUAGGCAUCGUUUUAAAUUAGAAAUAUGUUAUUUAUUUUUUAAAAAUUAUAUUGCUAAAAGUAACUUUAUUCAUGUGUAGGAGUAUAGCUGACGGCAUGGUUGUCUUUGAUUUCUUCUUUAUAGCCUGCACAUAGACUGUCCUUCAGACUCACAGUGCAGAGGGAAUAACACUGGACUUGAACUUGUAUGACAUGAUUUUACAAUUUUAUUUCGUGUAGUAUAUCUCAAAGUGGUAUUGAGAAGAUCAAAUCAGACACCAUAUGUCACCUCUAGCACAUCAAUGCUUUUCUUCUCUUUCUCAUCUUUUCCCUACUUUUAUCAAGCAAGUAUAUUAUGUUCUGAAAGAAAUCAAGAAAAAUAUCAAGAAAUUGAUAUCAUACAUGAAGCUAUGUUUUAAACCCUACAGAAAACAAUUCAAUAUUUUCAUUUACUUUCCUAUUUUAAGUUGAAAAAUAUUUGUUUAUUAAUAGUAGAGGCGGCCGGGCGCUGUGGCUCACGCUUGUAAUCCCAGCACUUUGGGAGGCCGAGGCGGGCGGAUCACGAGGUCAGGAGAUGGAGACCACGGUGAAACCCCGUCUCUAAUAAAAAAUACAAAAAAUUACCGGGCGUGGUGGCGGGCGCCUGUAGUCCCAGCUACUCGGAGAGGCUGAAGCAGGAGAAUGGCGUGAACCCGGGAGGCGGAGCUUGCAGCGAGCCGAGAUCGCGCCACUGCACUCCAGCCUGGGCGACAGAGUGAGACUCUGUCUCAAAAAAA